GAGGUAGCCAACACUGUUUAUAUAUAUAUAUAUAUAUAUAUAUAUAUAUAUAUAUAAUUUUAUUUUUAUUUUUUUUCUCAAUUGGGGUAGCCCCCAAAAUAUUGGGACAUAUAAAAAAGAAAACUCACAGGAACUUUGUUGACUCUAGAGAACCUUGGGCAAAUCGCACAUCCCCGUGGCGGCGACUUUGCAUGCAGAUGUGCCUACCAUGGUGACCACGGGUAACGGGGGAAUCAAGAUUCCAUUCCAUACAGGGACCCUGAGAAACAGCUACCACAUGCAAGGAAGACAGCAGGCGCGCAAAUGACCCACUCCCGACGCGGGAAGGUAG